AUUUAAAAACAUAUGCAGCUGCAUCUGUUGUGACACUGACACUAGGUAAAUUAUACGGAGUGGCACUUUACACGAUGCAGUAUUUGUACUCAAAGAGAGAGCCAGACUUUGAUGAUAUAGCUACUGUCAUUCCAGUGGUUCCAUAACUUCCAGUACAACAGUGCGAGGUCCUGUCAUCACCAGUCUGGUUACUGUCCUGUAGUCCAGGAUUGCAUCGUACUGCUGAGUGUGACAACAGCUGAAGAGGUGGAAAUCCAGCAGAGUGAAACUGAAGGGAACUCAAGCUACUUCGACGACCACCGAAACGCAGCAGACCAGCAAAAAAGAAUCGAAUACGAUUAGUGUAAAGGAACACACCGCCCACACGUGGCUGCACAGUAUCCUGCAGCACCGCCGAGCUGUAGACAGCGGGAGUUUGUGCCCUCUGACAUGCAAGGUCAAAAGGUCAUCAUAAGUCUGUGAGUGACAGCAGUAAUGGUGGCAUGACAAGUCUUCCCACAGGAGCAGCAACAGCCGAGAGUUGCCACCCCGCACCUUCCUCCUAUCUCGACCUCAGUUGAUGACAUGGGCUUUAUCACAUCUGCAUCUGCUGGGCCAGUUAGUCGUUCCCCUUUGUUUAAGGAUUAAGAGAUGUUGCUGAACCCAGCACAGAACGCCACAUUGGGAGCUUUCUGACAUCCAAGUGGCACCGAUGUUUUCCUCUGUGAAUAGGCUGUAUUUUAGAGUCCAGCAAUUAUUCAGAAUCUAGUUAACAGUGUGCAGAAGAUGGCUGGUUCUCGUGACUGAAUCACCUCUUUGAUGGCUGCGAUGGACUCCCUCUCACUCUUCAAUAUGGAAAUGUCUUCUUUUACUCCAAACUGCAUUAAAUGAUGUGUCCUGUAUGGCCUCUAGCUGUUGGGGAAUGAAGUGGUUUGUUAGAUCAACAUUGAGAAAGCUGCUGAAAUUUUAACUCCUAGCAUAAUAAACAAGAGCACGAGUCCUCCGUGAUAUUUCCUGCCAACUUAAAGCCAGGAUGGAAUAAAUCUGAUCCUGUUUGACUUAAGCAAGACUCCAAAACUAUUUCACAAAAGCACCGACAGCAUCAAAGAGGUGACGCCUUCACUCCAUAGUGAGCCGCUGUUACAAAGAGAGGUUGACCUUGCCUUUGGCCUUUUGGCUGUCUGACAAAGCAGUCCCCAUGCUGUAGUGCAGUACGGCUGUCCUCUAAAUGAAAGUAGCUGAGAGGCGAAGGGCAAAGAGGCCUAUGGAAUAUCAAUGUGCGAUGCUCUCAAUUAAGAUUAAAGCUUCGAAUGGAAUCCUAUGGAGCCGCUUCCCUAAGAAAUGCUUGACAUUUUACCCUUGCUGACUCGGGAUAAAAAAAAAGUGUCCUGCGCCACCAGUACCACCACCACCGCUAACUAGCUGCCCCUCCUCGGA